UUUCUGUUGUGACAUCACAUAGAAUUUUGACUAGCAUUCACCAAGGAUGAACUGAAAGCAGGAUCUGUCUCACCAUACGCUGAGAACUGUAGAAUACGCAAGGCACAUGGAACUUAUUUUCUUACGUAUGAAAGCGUGUAUAUGCUCCUUUCACAUCUGUUCUAAUGCUUUCCAACAGUCCUCACUCUAAGCCUCACCAAGACCCAGAUGAGGAAACAAAGGCACAGAGGGGUACAUUGAAGGAGGUCAGUUUGGAGAACCACAGUGUAGACACUUACUCUCUCUCCUUUGUGUUUCGGAUAAACUCAGAGCAGGAAGACAGCAAGGAAUAGCAGUGAAAAGCAUGGUGCUUAAUCCAACCCCUUACUCACUGCUGAGACCUGGAAAUGUGUUCAUCAGCUACAAAACAGGAGAGAUGAUAACUCAUUAUGUAUGUGUGAUGAUAAACAGAGACAAUAUAUUGAAGAGCUUACAUGAGUGGCGGACAUGGGACAUGCUUCCCUGUGGCUGGCCAGCCUGUCAUCUUCUCCACCAUGUGUCCAGAGAAAAGCUUUGCAAAUCAAACUCUCGAUGAAUGAUGAUGGCACCAGUGAAAUCAGGGGAGGCAGAAAAUCAUGUUAGUUUGGUUUAUAAUGCAAGAAGUUACAGAACACAGAGUGCUCAAAACUAAGAAUGUGCUAGUUGUAUAACAGGGUCCUUCUUGGGACUCAGCCAGGAUUCAAACUAUAAAGGAAAAUCGGGUGAGCAGGUGGGAUAGUCAAGUGAUUCUAUUUGCAUGAAUGAAUUUGUGAGAUGAUACCUUCUUGUCCAGGAACAUUGAGCAGUGCUCGUGCUGGGUGGAUUGUGAUGUGGAAACCCUGGGAGAUGUCACGUCUGACGUCAACUUUCUCCCAGGUGACAGCUGCACCCUCUAAAGGCUUCUCAAGUGACAGAGCUCAAUGAAUAUAGAAGGGAAAAAUAUGAGGAUGACCUAUGAGCACAGGGUGGACAGUCUCUGCGGUGGGCAGGCAUUAGCAAAGGAGAGACCUUCUAUAUUAUGCAGAGUGGAAUUUUCCAGAGGCUACAUGAUGAGUGACGUCACGACAGAUUGAGUACAGAGCCAACUAUGAGAAUCCAGCUGCCUUCUAUUAAGAGUGAGGCAAUGAGGGUUCAGAAUGAAGUUCCCCAUAGGAUGGAAUAAAGAAUGACUUGCAGGCAAGAGAUAAAGAGAGGGU